GACGAACGCUGGCGGCGUGCCUAACACAUGCAAGUCGAGCGGGGUUGAAGCGAGGGGUAACUCGGACUUCUACCUAGCGGCGGACGGGUGAGUAACGCGUGGGCAACCUGCCUCAAGGUUUGGGAUAACAGCUCGAAAGGGCUGCUAAUACCGGAUAUGCCUGUGGCCUCGCAUGGGGCUAUGAGCAAAGGGGAAACCCGCCUUGAGAUGGGCCCGCGUCCCAUCAGCUAGUUGGUGAGGUGAAGGCUCACCAAGGCGACGACGGGUAGCCGGCCUGAGAGGGUGACCGGCCACACUGGGACUGAGACACGGCCCAGACUCCUACGGGGGGCAGCAGUGGGGGAUCUUGCACAAUGGGCGAAAGCCUGAUGCAGCGACGCCGCGUGAGCGAAGAAGGCCUUCGGGUUGUAAAGCUCUGUCUGGAGGGACGAAGAAAAUGACGGUACCUCCGGAGGAAGCCACGGCUAACUACGUG
rnacentral:rRNA from 1 species